GGCGGUGGGAGCUAGCGGUGGUCGGAAUGACUGGGCGUAAAGGGCGCGUAGGCGGCUUCGUCAGUCGGGUGUGCAAGCCCGGGGCUAAACCCCGGAACGGCAUCCGAUACGGCGCGGCUGGAGACCGGGAGAGGAGAGUGGAAUACCCAGUGUAGAGGUGAAAGUCGUAGAUAUUGGGUGGAACACCGGUGGCGAAAGCGGCUCUCUGGCCCGGUUCUGACGCUGAGGCGCGAAAGCGUGGGGAGCAAACAGG
rnacentral:rRNA from 1 species